GGUUACGGCCAUACCACCCUGAACGCACCUGAUCUCGGCAGCUAAGCAGGGUCGGGCCUGGUUAGUACUUGGAUGGGAGACCGCCUGGGAAUAUUGGUUGCUGUAGGCU
rnacentral:rRNA from 1 species